CACCUGAAUGAUAUAAUACACAGAGGAAACGGUGGAGGUCAUUCAGCUGGACAUCAACAUCUAGAAGAACCAAUCCUCAGCACCGACCUGUUCAUCAUGAUGAUCAGAAUCCUCUGCCUGAGCGUCCUCGUGAUGCUUUUCUGCACAGACAUUGAAGCAAAGAAAGGAAAAGAAAAAAGGUUAAAGUGUUACACUUGUAAAGAGAAAAACUGCACAAAAUCCGACUAUUGUCAUCAUGGGCAGAUCUGCAUGAGCGCCUCCAUUGUUGGUACUGUCUGCUUCUCUUCUUUUCCUUUGAUAGACAAACAGUGUCUGGCUUGGCUUUGCAUGCUAAUCCACUUUAUACCUUACAGAAAUCAUACAUGGAGAGAAGGAGAUUUCCUACUACAGGUCUUGUGCUUCACCUUCAUACUGCGAGAGAUUUGGAGGAAACGCGACCUUGGCCAUCAACGAGGACUCUCAGGUGUUUGUGGUGACCGUUCAGUGCUGCAGGUCCCAUCUCUGCAACAAAACACCUCCUCCCCGUAAGACGUUUGACACACAAACUAAUGCUGCUCCAUACUCUGCUGGUAGUUUACACUGGUCUGUUAUGCUGUUCUUUUCAGACCCUGCAAUAACAAUCUGGAAAUGGCCUGAAAUGCCACAAACAACCACUCCUGAACCAACCCUUCCACCCUGUAGCAGAAAGACAUAAACAUUCCCACCACAUUAAACCAGUCCCUUGGUCUUGGUGACAAACCUUUAAAACGUUGAUUAAAGUCUGGGUGAAUCUUUAGUGGAUCUUACAUCAAACAUGCAGAUCUUAACAAACUUAUCAGACCACCACCCGCUGUGAGGUUAAAUCACAGCAUUGGUAAAUAUCUUUGUUUCUGUCAUUUGGCUAAUCUCCUAAACAAAACAAAAAGAUGGUUGGUGGUCGAAUACAUUCGUUAACCAACAUAUUUGAUGUUUUGCUUUUUAGCGAUGGAAUUAGAUGAUGAAUUAAUGAAGAUCAAACCUUCCUUCAAAGGAGCGUUGGUUACUUCUAACUUCUACAUUUGACUCUUUUAGUAACGGUAGCAGGGCUGAGUUUCUAAUGCUUUCUUAAAAUGCUUUCUUCAUGGGAACAAUCAUUAAGGGUUGAAAUAAAACUAUCAGCA
rnacentral:lncRNA from 1 species